rnacentral:pre_miRNA from 1 species
AUAUUACUCCCUUCGUCCGGAAAUACUUGUCGGAGGAAUGGAUGUAUCUAGACAUAUCUUAGUUCUAGAUACAUUCAUUUUUAUCCAUUUCUUCGACAAGUAUUUCCGGACGGAGGGAGUAGUCU